CAAGGAGAGAGCGCUGGCGCUUAAUGGGUUAACUGGCCUAUCAGCCCAUGUGUCUAGCGAACCCAUUGAGUGGCGAUGCACCCUACUUUAGUGUUUUACUCUGUCUAACGCCAGAGUAUUACGCCAGAGUAUUUUACUCUGUCUAACGCCAGACAAUUUUACUCGUCAAGGGGAGAGCGCUGGCGCUUAAUGGGUUAACUGGCCUAUCAGCUGAUGUGUCUAGCGAACCCAGUGAGUGGCGAUGCACCCUACUUUAGUAUUUUACUCUGUCUAACGGCAGACGAUUUUACUC